rnacentral:rRNA from 1 species
GAUGAACGCUGGCGGCGUGCCUAAUACAUGCAAGUCGAGCGAACGGACGAGAAGCUUGCUUCUCUGAUGUUAGCGGCGGACGGGUGAGUAACACGUGUAUAACCUACCUAUAAGACUGGGAUAACUUCGGGAAACCGGAGCUAAUACCGGAUAAUAUUUUGAACCGCAUGGUUCAAAAGUGAAAGACGGUCUUGCUGUCACUUAUAGAUGGUUCCGCGCUUCAUUAGCUAGUUGGUAAGGUAACGGCUUACCAAGGCAACGAUGCAUAGCCGACCUGAGAGGGGGAGCGGACACACUGGAACUGAAACACGGUCCAGACUCCUACGGGAGGCCGCAGUAGGGAAUCUUCCGCAAUGGGCGAAAGCCUGACGGAGCAACGCCGCGUGAGUGAUGAAGGUCUUCGGAUCGUAAAACUCUGUUAUUAGGGAAGAACAUAUGUGUAAGUAACUGUGCACAUCUUGACGGUACCUAAUCAGAAAGCCACGGCUAACUACGUG